rnacentral:rRNA from 1 species
AUUGAACGCUGGCGGCAGGCUUAACACAUGCAAGUCGAACGCCCCGCAAGGGGAGUGGCAGACGGGUGAGUAACGCGUGGGAAUCUACCCAGAUCUACGGAACAACAGUUGGAAACGACUGCUAAUACCGUAUACGCCCUACGGGGGAAAGAUUUAUCGGAUUUGGAUGAGCCCGCGUAAGAUUAGUUAGUUGGUGGGGUAAUGGCCUACCAAGGCGACGAUCUUUAGCUGGUCUGAGAGGAUGAUCAGCCACACUGGGACUGAGACACGGCCCAGACUCCUACGGGAGGCAGCAGUGGGGAAUAUUGGACAAUGGGCGCAAGCCUGAUCCAGCCAUGCCGCGUGAGUGAUGAAGGCCUUAGGGUUGUAAAGCUCUUUCACCGAUGAAGAUAAUGACGGUAGUCGGAGAAGAAGCCCCGGCUAACUUCGUGCCAGCAGCCGCAGUAACAC